AAAUAGUUAUUAAAAAAAUAAAUAAAUAAAGUUUCAGGCUCUGGGGAGGGCCGGUGCUGUUACUGAUGUGGCAGCACUUUCAGGUUUCAAUUGGGAUCUCUCGUCCCCAUCCCCCACCCACCUAGGGGGUUGACUAAAGAGGUCAGUGAGCCCUGGCUCUGUUUUUGUAUCCCCACCUCUCACCCCAGGAGGAGGAACCGGACCCGGGGAACCUGGAAGUGGACCACGAUUUCUUCCAGGACAAGGUGUGGCCCCAUUUGGCCCACAGAGUACCAGCUUUUCAGAGUCUGAAGGUUCGGAGCGCUUGGGCCGGCUAUUACGACUACAACACCUUUGACCAGAACGGCGUGGUGGGCCCCCACCCCCUGGUGGUCAACAUGUACUUUGCCACAGGCUUCAGUGGCCAUGGUCUCCAGCAGGCCCCCGCCGUGGGGCGAGCUGUGGCCGAGAUGGUGCUAGAGGGCCAGUUCCAGACCAUCAACCUGAGCUCCCUCCUCUUCAGCCGCUUUUACUUGGGAGAGAAGGUCGAAGAGCGCAACAUCAUCUGAGCCUGUAAGCUCUUCGCUGACCCCACUUCCCCAUCUGUCACCCCUGGUCAAAUCCUGGCCCAUGUUCACGUCCUCCUCCCCAGCAUCAUGCCAGGAGCUCCUCCAUCCUCCUCUCACUCAGGUGAUUCUGUCCCCAUGUGGCUGGGCAGGUGGGCAGGCUGCAGGCUCUGAGGUUCUGUGCCUGAGGCCCAGGCUGACAGAAUGAGGGAGCAGGACCCUGGGACUGAUCCCUGGCCCAGGCUGAUGCUGCCCACCAAGGCAAUCCAGCUGGACAGCACGCCUCAGUGGUCCUGAGCACCAGGCCCAGGGCUGGCUCCCUCCUGGCACCAACCAGAAGGAUCACCGCUGCCCCUCUUCGCAGAGCCCAGGCAGGGAGCAUUCCGGUGCAGCUGGCCCGAACUUAUUAUCAAUCAAUAAAUGCGAUGAACUCCUUC